rnacentral:lncRNA from 1 species
ACACUGGGCUCAUGCGGCCAGCAGGCAGCGUGGGUCUCAACGGCUGGGCUAACGCGACAGGCUCCUGCAGCAGGCAUGCAACCUACCCUGGCUCUGUCCACCGGCCCCCUUCAGGCACUGGCGGUGUGAUGCGCCACAGCAACUACCGGACACCGGGCUUAACUACCACAAGUCACGAAGCCGAGAGCGCUUUCCCCAAGGUUAUAUCUAGCUAGUACUACCGCGCUUGGACUGCUUGCGCAGGCAGAUGUGGCCGACAGUUUUUGGAUAUCGCGCAUCGCCUGUUUAUGUGGCCGUUCGGGCCGGCAGUUUCGUGGACCUCGCGCAUCGACUGCUUGUGAGGCCGUAUGGGCCGGCAGUUUUCGUGGAAUUGCGCAUCGCCUGUUUAUGUGGCCGUUCGGGCCGGCAGUUUCGUGGACCUCGCGCAUCAACUGCUUGUGAGGCCAUAUGGGCCGGCAGUUUCGUGGACCUCGCGCAUCAACUGCUUAUGAGGCCGUUUGGGCCAGGCAGUUUUCGUGGAAUUGCGCAUCGCCUGUUAUGUGGCCGUUUGGGCCAGGCAGUUUUCGUGGAAUGCGCAUCGCCUGUUAUGUGGCCGUUUGGGCCAGGCAGUUUUCGUGGAAUUGCGCAUCGCCUGUUAUGUGGCCGUUUGGGCCAGGCAGUUUUCGUGGAAUGCGCAUCGCCUGUUAUGUGGCGAGCCAGGCAGUUUUCGUGGAAUUGCGCAUCGCCUGUUAUGUGGCCGUUUGGGCCAGGCAGUUUUCGUGGAAUUGCGCAUCGCCUGUUAUGUGGCCGUUUGGGCCAGGCAGUUUUUCGUGGAAUGCGCAUCGCCUGUUAUGUGGCCGUUUGGGCCAGGCAGUUUUCGUGGAAUUGCGCAUCGCCUGUUAUGUGGCCGUUUGGGCCAGGCAGUUUUCGUGGAAUUGCGCAUCGCCUGUUAUGUGGCCGUUUGGGCCAGGCAGUUUUCGUGGAAUUGCGCAUCGCCUGUUAUGUGGCCGUUUGGGCCAGGCAGUUUUCGUGGAAUUGCGCAUCGCCUGUUAUGUGGCCGUUUGGGCCAGGCAGUUUUCGUGGAAUUGCGCAUCGCCUGUGUAUGUGGCCGUUUGGGCCAGGCAGUUUUGGGACUUCGCGCAUCGCCUGUUUAUGUGGCCGGUUGGGCCAGGCAGUUUUGGGACUUCGCGCAUAGACGGCUCAUGCUGCCGCAUGGGCCGGGCAGUUUUUUGGACCUCGCGCAUAGACUGCUUAGGCGGCCGCAUGGGCCGGGCAGUUUUUUGGAUCUCGCGCAUCAAUUGCUUAAGGUUACUAACGGUUCCGAUAUUUUUCUCCCCUGCUUGGAGCCGGUAAAGACCGACAGCCGACAGCUAUAGGCUGGAGGNNN